rnacentral:rRNA from 1 species
GAAAGAUGAAAAGAACUUUGAAAAGAGAGUUAAACAGUACGUGAAAUUGUUGAAAGGGAAACGAUUGAAGCCAGUCGUACUGACGGGAAAUCAACUUCUCGAGUGCUUGUCGUGAAUGACGUUGAGCUUCACGGCCUUCGUUGCUUGCGUUAUGGUGCUUUUGAGGUGUACUUUUCCGUAUGGUAAGUCAACAUCGAUUUUUUUCGUCAUAAAAUGAUCGGAGGAAUGUGGCUCUGAUCUUGUAUCGGAGUGUUAUA